rnacentral:rRNA from 1 species
UACAGAGGUGCCAAGCGUUAGGCGGAAUCACUGGGCUUAAAGCGCGUGUAGGUGGGUCGUUAAGUGUCCGCGUGAAAUCCCACGGCUCAACCGUGGAACUGCCGGGCAUACUGGCGAUCUUGAGGCAUUCAGGGGCGAGCGGAACAAAUGGUGGAGCGGUGAAAUGCGUAGAUAUCGUCUGGAACGCCGAAGGUGAAAACAGCUCGCUGGGGCUGCGCUGACGCUGAGACACGAAAGCCAGGGGAGCGAACGGG